rnacentral:rRNA from 1 species
CCUACGGGAGGCAGCAGUAGGGAAUAUUGCUCAAUGGCGGAAACCCUGAAGCAGCAACGCCGCGUGGAGGAUGAAGGUUUUCGGAUUGUAAACUCCUUUUGUUAGAGAAGAUAAUGAUGGUAUCUAACGAAUAAGCACCGGCUAACUCCGUGCCAGCAGCCGCGGUAACACGGAGGGUGCAAGCGUUACCCGGAAUCAUGGGGCGUAAAGGGGGCGUAGGCGGGUUAGCAAGUUAGUGGUAAGAUCUUAUGGCUUAACCUUGAAUCGGCAUUUAUAACGGUAAUUUUGAGUUAAGGGGAGGUAGGCGGAAUUCGUUGAGUAGGGGUAAAAUGCGGAGAGAUAAAGUAGAAAUCCGAUUGCGAAGGCCGCCUACCAGAACGCGACUGACGGUGAAGCCCGAGAGCGUGGGUAGCAAACAGGAUUAGAUACCCGAGUAGUC